CGUAGGGUGCGAGCGUUAAUCGGAAUUACUGGGCGUAAAGCGUGCGCAGGCGGUUUUGUAAGCCAGAUGUGAAAUCCCCGGGCUUAACCUGGGAAUGGCAUUUGGGACUGCAAGGCUUGAGUGCGGCAGAGGAGACUGGAAUUCCUGGUGUAGCAGUGAAAUGCGUAGAUAUCAGGAGGAAUACCGAUGGCGAAGGCAGGUCUCUGGGCUGACACUGACGCUCAUGCACGAAAGCGUGGGGAGCAAACAGGAUUAGAUACCCUGGUAGUCCACACCCUAAACGAUGUCGACUGGUUGUUGGGGGUUUGACACUCUCAGUAACGAAGCUAACGCGUGAAGUCGACCGCCUGGGGAGUACGGCCGCAAGGUUA
rnacentral:rRNA from 1 species